CUCGCUCUCGGUGCGCAUGUGCAGUUCUGAAAAGGGGCCCUGCCUGGCAUUGUGAGGCCAGCACUUACUUUCAUACUGUGAGGGAUCUGCGCGUGCGCAAACAUCACUGGCAGACAGCUCGCGACGGUGACGCAGUUUCUCAGUGCGCACGUGCGCGUUAUACGCUGCUUUUUGCAAGUUUUCUGGUUUAAACAAACAAACAAACAAAAAGGGUACAACAUCCUGGUGGUUUCAUGGGAGAAACUAUUGCCGAAGCAGUAGCUCUGGGCUUUCUUAAAUUCUAAGGUUGCAAUUAAUCGUAUGUAUACUGAUUUGUGAAUAAAUCCAAAAUAUGUAUGUGCUCUGUUUCACGAAGGUCCAACCUCCUGCUUUUCUGGAGCAAUUUAGACUUUAGCAAUUAUAGCACGAUCCCCAAAAGAUCACAAACCAAAGCUCGAGUGCAAACAACCCAACUAUAUUUUAUCCUGUGCUUUCCUAGGGCCGAACUAGCUUUUGUAUCUGCCUAUAAACCGCUGUAAUGAUGGCAAUUAGACGGGUUGCGUGCUGAAUCUUUAUCCACACUUCUUUGAAACUUGGAUGAUGCUCAUAAAGGUUCCUUAUGGGUGAUUCCCAUGAAAUGCAACAGGCAAGGCAGCACUACAUGACAAGAGGAGUUUCUUCAUCUUUAAGCUGAAAAGGUUAUUUCUGCCCUGUGGAUAUCCACUGCUAUAGCACUUGGCUGAGAUAUUGGAACCUCAGGCUCUGAGAUGGGAUUAAUUCAAACCUCUGUCUAAGGGAACAGACUGACAUCCAAGUUUCAUAUAGUCUUCCUAACCACCAAGUUAUUAGAGGUGAGAGUUCAUGUCUUUCAAGAAGCCUGCUUGUCCAUUGUGUAGGAGAGUAAUAAAAGGAAUAUGCCAAGUGAAGUCAUCUUAGCAUUCAUGUUGCUGUGUUCCAUACAUGGCUGAGGGGGAAUAUCCUUAGCAAGUAAUUAGCAAGUAGUAGGAGUUGGAUUUUUUAGCACAGUUAUAGGCUUCUUUUCCAUAAACUGGAAAUAGUUUCCAGGCAGUCUGUCCAAGUGACUGUCCUAUGUUGAGUCUCUGCACCUGAUAUUUUAGGCAUCAAUCGUAGAUGGUUCGAUAGUAAUCCUAUGCAGCCUUUACAAUUGUUACUAGAAUCAGGGUGCUAGUUAUGUAUAUUUUAAAAAUAUGAGUAAAUUGUGUGAGUAAAACAAAAUCUUUGCCUUA